UUCUUUUUUCUUCUUUUUCCUUGCUUUUUUUUUGUGUUUUUCAUUUCCAUUUCUUUUCUUGCACUUCAAAUCUUUGUUUUUUUUUUCCUUUUUUCUUUUUUUUCCUUGUUUUUCAUUUUUUUCUUUUCUUUACUCUUUUCAAGCUACACAAGUGUUUGCAGAUGCAAUGAAAGUUUCGUUUCUUGUCUUUCUAUCUUUUUUUUUUUAACAAAAGAACAAAUUUCUUACAAUAAUACAAAUCAAGUUUUUUUUUUGGAUAAACAAAUAAAGAAUGCUAGAUGCAUUCCUUACCCUUUUGUUUAUCACUAUUUAAUUUUUUUAAUGUAAAGGUGAAAAAAGAAAAGGUAAAAUUUGUCCUAUAACUUGUGUUCUUGCUCUUAAAUUUGCCUCUAGUAUCAAACUAACAAAUAAAUAGAGUGAAAAAAAUAUCAAAGAAAAAAUAAAAUGAUCAACUAGUGCGUAUUACGUUGAAAUCCUAAACAUCCAAGCAAGGCAUUAAUUUGAAAGCACCAAGACUAAAAUAACAUUUACUGCUCAUUGCUUCCAAGAGUUCAUGGUUGUCUAUACAAAUCAACAAAAUACAAAAUCUAUGCCCCUAAAAUAGAUU
rnacentral:lncRNA from 1 species